rnacentral:rRNA from 1 species
AAUGAACGCUGGCGGCGCGCCUAAUACAUGCAAGUCGAGCGAGAAGACGUAGCAAUACGUUUGUAAAGCGGCGAACGGGUGAGGAAUACAUGGGUAACCUACCCUCGAGUGGGGAAUAACUAGCCGAAAGGUUAGCUAAUACCGCGUACGCUCCUUGGACUUCGGUUCAGGGAGGAAAGCGAUACCGUGGGUAUCGCGCUCUUGGUUGGGCUCAUGUCCUAUCAGCUUGUUGGUGAGGAACGGCUCACCAAGGCUUCGACGGGUAGCUGGUCUGAGAGGACGAUCAGCCACNCUGGCACUGCGACACGGGCCAGACUCCUACGGGAGGCAGCAGUAAGGAAUAUUGCGCAAUGGGCGAAAGCCUGACGCAGCGACGCCGCGUGGGGGAUGAAGGU